GUCCUGGAAGACAGAGAAAGUCUCAAUAGGUUUCUCCUGAUUUCGCGCCCGCAGGUCCAGAGUGAAACCGGAAGCGGCAAAAUAAUGGCAAUGAGAUUACAUGGACAGCAAAUGAAGACUGAAAUACUGAAUUCUUCUCCCAAGAAACCAAGAAAAAAGUCAUUUCACAUGAAUUUUUGGAGUAAUAUCUGAGACCAAUUUGAUACUUGAAAGAAACAACUAAGCACUGAAUUGCGUCUCCUGAGCUAUGAAAGAGCAACCAGCCCAGAGAAGCUCAUGUAGAGCAGGUGUCCUCGAGCUCCUCAUUCCCACUGAAUGCAGAACGGCGUCCAGAUCCUCUUAUCUGGAGGAGAAAUCCAGCUGCACCUCGGGAAUAUUUGACAGGCUCAGAGGAGCCUGUGAUCAUGUGACUCUCUGAGCGCUCGGGCUCUGAAAUAACAAAGCAUGGGUUAAACAAAGACGAGUGCUAGCAGAUGUGUGGGAGCAGCAGGCCCCGGAUCAGUCAACAGACACGUAAAGCCGCCCCAUUCACUUCUCGAGGUAAAACAUUUGUCAUCCGCAUCCACUCAGAGCCAAGCUUUUGGCAAGCGUCUUUAUCGUUUCUUACCACGCUGCUGCCACACAAAGAAGCAUCAUGUAGCUGGCAGGCCUGUAUAAAAGGAAGAAUCACAAAUGAGAUCUUUUUCUCCUAAACAAAUGUAUUACAUGGUGAUCAGAUGAGGACUUUUGCCUAAAGGAUUUAUAUUUUAGCAGAAAGUUGAUUCUGACUGAAAAUGAAGGUAACUGAACAUGUUUUCCUCUAAGGGUCACAGCAAAAAAAAGUUAGAUAAAUGAAGUCUGUUGAAUGAUGCAAAGACCGAUGCUGUUUGAAAUCAUCCAUGCUGUUAACAUAGGGUGCACAUGAUCAAAUUAACAUAAUAAAUAAGCUGUCCAUUGAUGGUUUGUUAGGAUAGGACAAUAUUUGGCCGAGA